GACGGAGGGGGCUAGCGUUGUUCGGAAUUACUGGGCGUAAAGAGCGUGUAGGCGGCCUGAUAAGUCGGCUGUGAAAGUCAAGGGCUCAACCCUUGAAUGCCGGCCGAUACUGUCAGGCUAGAGUCCGGAAGAGGCGAGUGGAAUUCCUGGUGUAGCGGUGAAAUGCGCAGAUAUCAGGAGGAACACCUAUGGCGAAGGCAGCUCGCUGGGACGGUACUGACGCUGAGACGCGAAAGCGUGGGGAGCGAACAGG
rnacentral:rRNA from 1 species